AUGGAACGCAUAUUCCAAUUAGCAUAUCUCAGAAAGACCAAGAUCCAUAAGGGAACAUUGUCACAAAAUGUCAUGGUUGCAUGUGAUUUUGAUAAUCGUUUUGUCCAUGUCUGCAGCGGAUGGGAAGGUUCAGCUUCUGACGCUCGAGUUCUACAAGAUGCUCUUGAAAAUAACUUCUAUGUCCUCGAAGGAAAGUUCUAUUUAGUGGAUGCGGGUUAUGCGAAUACGCGCAACUUCAUUGCUCCUUGUCACAAUGUAAGGUACCAUUUGGUGGAGCAAGCUAAAUGCAAUCAGCGGCCGCAAAACCCUCGAGAGCUAUUGAAAUGA
rnacentral:rRNA from 1 species